rnacentral:RNase_P_RNA from 1 species
AAUUGAAUAGUCGCGUAUAGCAAAGUCGAAAGACAGCGUACGAGGAAAGUCCGGGCUCCAUAGAGCAAUGAUGCUGGAUAACGUCCAGUGAGGGUAACUUUAAGGAAAGUGCAACAGAAAAUAACCGCCUAUUUUAGGUAAGGGUGAAAAGGUGAGGUAAGAGCUUACCGCUAGUAUGGUGACAUACUGGGUCAAUGCAAACCCCAUCAGGAGCAACACCGAGACAAGAAGGCUAAUGGCUGCUCGUCAAUCUUCUUAUAUUGGUGGCUUGAGACAUAUAGUAAUAUAUGUACUAGAUAGAUGACUAUUCACGACAGAACCCGGCUUA